GACGAAGGAUGCAAGCGUUAUCCGGAUUCAUUGGGUUUAAAGGGCGCGUAGGCGGACUUGUAAGUCAGUGGUGAAAUCUGUGGGCUUAACCCACAAACUGCCAUUGAUACUGCAGGUCUAGAGUACAGUUGCCGUUGGCGGAAUAUGACAUGUAGUGGUGAAAUACUUAGAUAUGUCAUAGAACACCGAUUGCGAAGGCAGCUAACGGAGCUGUAACUGACGCUGAGGCUCGAAAGUGCGGGGAGCAAACAGG
rnacentral:rRNA from 1 species